rnacentral:rRNA from 1 species
CCCUGAUGCAGCCAUGCCGCGUGUGUGAAGAAGGCCUUCGGGUUGUAAAGCACUUUCAGUAGGGAGGAAGGUAGUGUAGUUAACACCUGCACUAUUUGACGUUACCUACAGAAGAAGCACCGGCUAACUCCGUGCCAGCAGCCGCGGUAAUACGGAGGGUGCGAGCGUUAAUCGGAAUUACUGGGCGUAAAGCGCAUGCAGGCGGCCUGUUAAGUCAGAUGUGAAAGCCCGGGGCUUAACCUCGGAAUUGCAUUUGAAACUGGCAGGCUAGAGUCUUGUAGAGGGGGUAGAAUUUCAGGUGUAGCGGUGAAAAUGCGUAGAGAUCUGAAGGAAUACCAGUGGCGAAGGCGGCCCCCUGGACAAAGACUGACGCUCAGAUGCGAAAGCGUGGGGAGCAAACAGGAUUAGAUACCCUGGUAG